UGCAAGUCGAGCGGACAGAAGGGAGCUUGCUCCCGGAUGUUAGCGGCGGACGGGUGAGUAACACGUGGGUAACCUGCCUGUAAGACUGGGAUAACUCCGGGAAACCGGAGCUAAUACCGGAUAGUUCCUUGAACCGCAUGGUUCAAGGAUGAAAGACGGUUUCGGCUGUCACUUACAGAUGGACCCGCGGCGCAUUAGCUAGUUGGUGGGGUAAUGGCUCACCAAGGCGACGAUGCGUAGCCGACCUGAGAGGGUGAUCGGCCACACUGGGACUGAGACACGGCCCAGACUCCUACGGGAGGCAGCAGUAGGGAAUCUUCCGCAAUGGACGAAAGUCUGACGGAGCAACGCCGCGUGAGUGAUGAAGGUUUUCGGAUCGUAAAGCUCUGUUGUUAGGGAAGAACAAGUGCGAGAGUAACUGCUCGCACCUUGACGGUACCUAACCAGAAAGCCACGGCUAACUACGUGCCAGCAGCCGCGGUAAUACGUAGGUGGCAAGCGUUGUCCGGAAUUAUUGGGCGUAAAGGGCUCGCAGGCGGUUUCUUAAGUCUGAUGUGAAAGCCCCCGGCUCAACCGGGGAGGGUCAUUGGAAACUGGGAAACUUGAGUGCAGAAGAGGAGAGUGGAAUUCCACGUGUAGCGGUGAAAUGCGUAGAGAUGUGGAGGAACACCAGUGGCGAAGGCGACUCUCUGGUCUGUAACUGACGCUGAGGAGCGAAAGCGUGGGGAGCGAACAGGAUUAGAUACCCUGGUAGUCCACGCCGUAAACGAUGAGUGCUAAGUGUUAGGGGGUUUCCGCCCCUUAGUGCUGCAGCUAACGCAUUAAGCACUCCGCCUGGGGAGUACGGUCGCAAGACUGAAACUCAAAGGAAUUGACGGGGGCCCGCACAAGCGGUGGAGCAUGUGGUUUAAUUCGAAGCAACGCGAAGAACCUUACCAGGUCUUGACAUCCUCUGACAACCCUAGAGAUAGGGCUUUCCCUUCGGGGACGGAGUGACAGGUGGUGCAUGGUUGUCGUCAGCUCGUGUCGUGAGAUGUUGGGUUAAGUCCCGCAACGAGCGCAACCCUUGAUCUUAGUUGCCAGCAUUCAGUUGGG
rnacentral:rRNA from 1 species